CUCUUCUUCUUCUUCUUCUUCUCUCCUUUCUUCUAUUUCCUUUUCCCCUUCCCUCUGUUUUUCUGUUUGGUUGUGACCAGGUCUCAACACUCCAUCACACUUUCUGUAGGAAAAGGACACUAGGGGAGGAGGAGGAGGAAAGUAUAAGCACCAUAUUCAACAUUAUGAGCCUGAAUCCUCCUAACAUUUUCUAUUUAAAUCCAAAAUAAGUUUAUAUUAAAAAC
rnacentral:misc_RNA from 1 species